rnacentral:rRNA from 1 species
UACGUAGGUCCCGAACGUUGCGCGAAUUUACUGGGCGUAAAGGGUCCGUAGGCGGUUUAGCAAGUGGUUGGUGAAAUUUCACGGCUCAACCGUGAAACUGCCUUCCAAACUGCUAAACUUGAGGCAGGGAGAGGUCGGCGGAAUUCCCGGUGUAGCGGUGAAAUGCGUAGAUAUCGGGAGGAAGACCAGUGGCGAAGGCGGCCAACUGGAACUGUCCUGACGCUGAGGGACGAAGGCUAGGGGAGCAGACCCG